rnacentral:rRNA from 1 species
CCUACGGGACGCAGCAGUGAGGAAUAUUGGUCAAUGGACGCAAGUCUGAACCAGCCAUGCCGCGUGCAGGAUGACGGCUCUAUGAGUUGUAAACUGCUUUUGUACGAGGGUAAACCCCGAUACGUGUAUCGGGUUGAAAGUAUCGUACGAAUAAGGAUCGGCUAACUCCGUGCCAGCAGCCGCGGUAAUACGGAGGAUCCGAGCGUUAUCCGGAUUUAUUGGGUUUAAAGGGUGCGUAGGCGGGAUGCCAAGUCAGCGGUAAAAAUGCGGUGCUCAACGCCGUCGAGCCGUUGAAACUGGCGUUC